rnacentral:rRNA from 1 species
UACGGAGGGGGCUAGCGUUGUUCGGAAUUACUGGGCGUAAAGCGCGCGUAGGCGGACCUGCAAGUCGGGGGUGAAAGCCCGAGGCUCAACCUCGGAACUGCCUUCGAUACUGCGGGUCUCGAGUCCGGGAGAGGUGAGUGGAAUUCCUAGUGUUAGAGGUGAAAAUUGUAGAUAUUAGGAAGAACACCAAGUGGCGAAGGGCGGCUAC